rnacentral:lncRNA from 1 species
UUCUUUCCUGAAUAUCACUUAUUUAAAAUAAUUUUUCAGCAAGGUAAUAAAUACAAGUCUGGUUUCUUUUCAGGUUGGACCUUCCAGUUCCUCUCAGAACAGCUAUUCAGGCAAUCAGGGUGGAGUAGUCUACACAAUAAGCAAGAGUGGAUGUGGCCCUGGAGGUGCUGCUGGUGCAUAUGGCCUACAAGCCUGCAGAGAUAGUGCAUCCUUAUCCACCAGUGGUCUUACUUAUGGCCAGUCUGUCCCUUCAAGCAGUUCAGAUUCCAGUAAGAAGGUAAGCAUUCCUGUUCAAAGGGAAAAAUUCUUACAGUCAUAACUUGGCAUGUCUCCUGUUAUUUCAGUCAAGAGUUUUCAAGGCUUUAACCCAGAUUGACUCAUAUGAUUUGAUUUGGUUUGGUUCUUAGAGGCUGGGAGAGCUUCUAAUGAGAAAACAUAAAUACAGCAGAAGAUACGAUUAUUGCAUUUGGCUUAUUUCAGGGUUUUUUUUUAAUGCAGUCAAUAUCAAGUAUUUUUUAUUUUUUAUCAUAAUACUGAAUAAAGACAAAAUAAAUUGAUGUUCUAGUUUAGGA